AUUAGAUCUCAAAUCAGGUAGGACUACCCGCUGAACUUAAGCAUAUCAAUAAGCGGAGGAAAAGAAACUAACAAGGAUUCCCCUAGUAGCGGCGAGCGAAGCGGGAAGAGCUCAAAUUUAUAAUCUGGCACCUUCGGUGUCCGAGUUGUAAUCUCUAGAAAUGUUUUCCGCGUUGGACCGCACACAAGUCUGUUGGAAUACAGCGGCAUAGUGGUGAGACCCCCGUAUAUGGUGCGGACGCCCAGCGCUUUGUGAUACAUUUUCGAAGAGUCGAGUUGUUUGGGAAUGCAGCUCAAAUUGGGUGGUAAAUUCCAUCUAAAGCUAAAUAUUGGCGAGAGACCGAUAGCGAACAAGUACCGUGAGGGAAAGAUGAAAAGCACUUUGGAAAGAGAGUUAACAGUACGUGAAAUUGUUGGAAGGGAAACGCUUGAAGUCAGACUUGCUUGCCGAGCAAUCGGUUUGCAGGCCAGCAUCAGUUUUCCGGGAUGGAUAAUGGUAGAGAGAAGGUAGCAGUUUCGGCUGUGUUAUAGCUCUCUGCUGGAUACAUCUUGGGGGACUGAGGAACGCAGUGUGCCUUUGGCGGGGGUUUCGACCUCUUCACACUUAGGAUGCUGGUGGAAUGGCUUUAAACGACCCGUCUUGAAACACGGACCAAGGAGUCUAACAUGCUUGCGAGUAUUUGGGUGUCAAACCCGGA
rnacentral:rRNA from 1 species